CUCUUGGGGCUUCGGUUCCAAGGGAGUGGCGCACGGGUGAGUAGCGCGUGGGAACCUGCCCCGUUGUGGGGGAUAACCGAGGGAAACUUCGGCUAAUACCGCAUACGCCCGGCGGACCUCGAAAGGGGGAAACCGGGGAAAGAUUUAUCGCAGCAGGAGGGGCCCGCGUCGGAUUAGGUAGUUGGUGGGGUAACGGCCUACCAAGCCUUUGAUCCGUAGCUGGUCUGAGAGGAUGAUCAGCCACACUGGGACUGAGACACGGCCCAGACUCCUACGGGAGGCAGCAGUGGGGAAUAUUGGACAAUGGGCGCAAGCCUGAUCCAGCAAUGCCGCGUGAGUGAUGAAGGCCUUCGGG
rnacentral:rRNA from 1 species